GCAGACAGUUGUUGACUCCCAUAGGCUUCAGAUCAAGACACAGUUUUGGGAAACAGGUAUACCCAUUAUGACAAAAUUGGUUUUUUUAACCUGGCACUUUUAAACCCUCUUGUCUUUGUUUUGUGAGCCACACAGUUUGUGAUCAAUAAAAAGACGUUUUGCUGUCGUACAUGCUGCAACUGAACCAACAACUUAAGUUGCACUGUAACUAAAUCACAACCUUUGGACAAAUUACAAGGAAAAUGUAUUUGCUGUAUUGAUUUUUAGUCUCUUCUAUGCUGAUUGAUCAUUUACUUUAAAUACAAAGACUGAAACUAGGAUAUGCAAAUGAGAAGUUCUUUGGUCUCACUAAAUGUCAUAUCCAACAAAAUAAUCUUCUGUGACUUCACAUAAGAAGUGAUUUAAUUUAUUCCUUUUCUAUCACUGUUUGCAAGUACUUUAAAAUAGGAGUAGUAAGAAACUAGUUUAAUAUUUUUGCUGAGGAAUCAGAUUGGGGCAUGUUCUGCUUUUUUAACUAUUUUCUGACAAAAAUAACCUGUAUUGUAGCGGCCAGAAGUCUGAAGCAGACUACGGGAAAAGGUGUCAUAGGCUUGGCAUUGGCUCUGAACUCAUCUCCCAGGCUUCCUCUUCAUCAAGAGAAAGAAGAAGGCAUCUCCAAAACAGAUAAAUGUGUUGGGGAUUGAAUCAGGGAGGAAUGCCAACGGAAAAGUUGACUGAAUGUUAAAAAACAUUGCUAUUUCCUGAAGUUUCUGUUGAGUUAAUUGUAACUCAGCCCUUACACUGACAAAACUAAUAGUGAAAUUGAUUUGUUUAAAAACACAUCUGCCUGGAUACAGCAUUUCUGUUAUUUUCCCUGACGUUCUGCUCUUAUCUCAGUAAAAUCCAUGUAUUGCAGUACAGUGGCAGUAUUGCAGUCUUGUUCAAAUAAAUGUAAUAUCAUUUCUCUCUGAAGCA
rnacentral:lncRNA from 1 species